UACGGAGGGUGCGAGCGUUGUCCGGAAUCACUGGGCGUAAAGGGCGCGUAGGUGGCGCAGGAAGUCAACGGUGAAAGUUCGGGGCUCAACCCUGAAUCGGCCGUCGAUACUCCUGGGCUCGAGCAUUGUAGAGGCAGAUGGAAUUCCGGGUGUAGCGGUGGAAUGCGUAGAGAUCCGGAAGAACACCGGUGGCGAAGGCGGUCUGCUGGGCGA
rnacentral:rRNA from 1 species